CAUGCAAGUCGAACGAUGAUGCCAGCUUGCUGGUGGAUUAGUGGCGAACGGGUGAGUAACACGUGGGUGAUCUGCCCCAAACUUUGGGAUAAGCCUGGGAAACUGGGUCUAAUACCGAAUAUGACCACGGAAUGCAUGUUUUGUGGUGGAAAGCUCCGGCGGUUUGGGAUGGGCCCGCGGCCUAUCAGCUUGUUGGUGGGGUAAUGGCCUACCAAGGCGACGACGGGUAGCCGGCCUGAGAGGGCGACCGGCCACACUGGGACUGAGACACGGCCCAGACUCCUACGGGAGGCAGCAGUGGGGAAUAUUGCACAAUGGGCGCAAGCCUGAUGCAGCGACGCCGCGUGAGGGAUGACGGCCUUCGGGUUGUAAACCUCUUUCACCAGGGACGAAGCGAAAGUGACGGUACCUGGAGAAGAAGCACCGGCCAACUACGUGCCAGCAGCCGCGG
rnacentral:rRNA from 1 species